CUGGCGGCGUGCCUAAUACAUGCAAGUCGAACGGUCUUUCUAUGGAAGCUUGCUUCCACUGAGAAGAUAGUGGCGAACGGGUGAGUAACACGUGGGUAACCUGCCCACAAGAGGGGGAUAACAUCCGGAAACGGGUGCUAAUACCGCAUAGUUUUCUUGAUCGCAUGAUCGGGAAAGGAAAGACGGCCUUUGUGCUGUCGCUUAUGGAUGGACCCGCGGCGUAUUAGUUAGUUGGUGAGGUAACGGCUCACCAAGACGAUGAUACGUAGCCGACCUGAGAGGGUGAUCGGCCACAUUGGGACUGAGACACGGCCCAAACUCCUGCGGGAGGCAGCAGUAGGGAAUCUUCCGCAAUGGACGAAAGUCUGACGGAGCAACGCCGCGUGAGUGAAGAAGGUUUUCGGGAAUCGUAAAACUCUGUUGUCAGAGAAGAACAAGUUGGAGAGUAACUGCUCCAGCCUUGACGGUAUCUGACCAGAAAGCCACGGCUAACUACGUGCCAGCAGCAGC
rnacentral:rRNA from 1 species